UACGGCAGACAUAUCACCCUGUAGCCCAAGACUGGUUGCCCACUGAAGCUAAGCAGGGCUGAGCCUGAUCAGUACCUGGAUGGGAGACCUCCUGGGAAAACUAGGUUGCUGUUGGAA
rnacentral:rRNA from 1 species